rnacentral:rRNA from 1 species
ACAUGCCUACAACACAACAUUAAUGCAUCGGAUCCCAUUAGAACUCCACAGUUAAGCGCGCUUAGGCUAGAGUAGUACUGGGAUGGGUGACCGCCUGAGAAGUCCUUGUGUUUUACAUGCC